rnacentral:rRNA from 1 species
GGAGGACAACCCGGGGAACUGAAACAUCUAAGUACCCGGAGGAGAGGAAAUCAAUCUCGAGACUCCCCGAGUAGCGGCGAGCGAAAGGGGACCGAUGGCCAAACCGUCGAGCGGGCAUACCCGGCAGGGGUUCCGCCGACGGGGUUGCAGGGCCGCGCAUCCGGGGGCUGCCGCCCCCGGGCGCAGGUCCGGCUGGGGAGCGGAACGGCAUGGGAGGGCCGGCCGCAGCGGGUGACAGCCCCGUACGCGAACCCAGACCGGACGGCGCGACGCGGUCCCUGAGUAGGGCCGGGCACGUGAAACCCGGUCCGAACCUGGGUGGACCACCAUCCAAGCCUGAGUACUACCCUGUGACCGAUAGCGCACCAGUACCGUGAGGGAAAGGUGAAAAGCACCCCGGGAGGGGAGUGAAACAGUACCUGAAACCGUGCGCCCACGAGCAGUCGGAGCACCUUUAUGGUGUGACGGCGUGCCUUUUGUAGAAUGAGCCAGCGAGUCGCUGGCGCGGGGCGAGGUUAACCGAAAGGGAGCCGUAGCGAAAGCGAGCCUUAACAGGGCGACUUGAGUCCCGCGCCGCGGACGCGAAGCCGGGUGAGCUAUCCGUGGGCAGGCUGAAGCGGGGGUAAGACCCCGUGGAGGGCCGAACGCACGUCGGUUGAAAACGGCGGCGAUGACCUGCGGAUAGGGGUGAAAGGCCAAUCAAACCCGGAGAUAUCUCGUUCUCCCCGAAAUAGCUUUAGGGCUAGCGUCGCGCGUUCACCGCCGGAGGUAGAGCACCGGAUGGACGAGGGGGCUUCGCCGCCUACCGAAUCCAACCGAACUCCGAAUGCCGGCGGCCCAGAGCGCGGCAGUCAGAGCAUGUGGGCUAAGCUGUGUGCUCGAGAGGGAAACAGCCCGGACCGCCCGCUAAGGUCCCCAAGUUCCAGCCGAGUGGCAAAGGAUGUGCGUCCGCCCAGACAACCAGGAUGUUGGCUUAGAAGCAGCCAUCCAUUCAAAGAGUGCGUAACAGCUCACUGGUCGAGUGGACAUGCGCCGACAAUACACGGGGCUAAGCUGGACACCGAAGCGGCGGGAUUUUAAUUCAUUAGAAUCGGUAGGGGAGCUUCCCAUGGGCGGAGAAGCCGGAGGGCGACCGACGGUGGAGCGCAUGGGAGUGAGAAUGCUGGCAUGAGUAGCGAGAGACGAGAGAGUAACUCGUCCGCCGUGAACCCGAGGUUUCCUGGGCAAGGCUAAUCCUCCCAGGGUCAGUCGGGGGCUAAGGCGAGGCCGGGAGGCGUAGCCGACGCGCAGCAGGCAGACAUUCCUGCACCGCGCACGCGGCGCUACGACCGACGGGGCGACGGAUGGGGGUGGCUCGGCGGGGUUCUGGACGUCCCCGUGAUGGAGCGCGGCCCGCGGACCAGGGAAAUCCGGUCCGCACGAGGGCGAGGCUCCGGACGAAGCGACUGAGCGAAGCGAGUGAGCCCGAGGUCCCUAGAAAAACCCCUAGGCAGGCGCGUGCGCGCCCGUACCGCAAACCGACACAGGUGGGUGGGUAGAACAUACCGAGGCGAUCGGGUCAACCAUGGUCAAGGAACUCGGCACAAUGGCCCCGUAACUUCGGGAGAAGGGGUGCCCGCGCGUACGUGAACCGGCUUGCCCGGGGAGCGGAGGCGGGCCGCAGUGGAGAGGCCCAAGCGACUGUUUACCAAAAACACAGGACUCUGCAGAAGCCGCAAGGCGACGUAUAGGGUCUGACGCCUGCCCGGUGCCGGAAGGUCACGCGGAGGAGUUAGCGCAUCGCGCGAAGCCCCGAAGCCAAGCCCCGGUAAACGGCGGCCGUAACUAUAACGGUCCUAAGGUAGCGAAAUUCCUUGUCGGGU